UGGAAUUCAUGCUUUUUCUAAGUAGGCAAAGCUAAAAAAUGUAAACAUUUGUAUCCAUCAAAUGAUGCAUCAAUUUUUUCCGAAACAGACCCAGAGAAAUCGAAAUGAAAGAUUUAAAAAAAAGAGAGCGCUGCUGGUUGGUCAUCAAGGUUUUUAUUUCGAAAGAUUGUUACAAUGAAAAUUUGGUGAGCUGUUUUUCUAUUGCAAAUGCAAUGAUCUUGGUCGAGCUUAAAACAGAGGAGCAAAUAAUAAGAUUCUUGUGAAACCAUUAACCGCAGUUCCUCAAAAUGAUUCAGGGAAUCAUCGGAAAUGCUGUUUAUUUUUUGAAAAUCGAUGGGCCUGGUUUAGAAAGCUAAAGGCGAUGCCAGCCGGUUGUAAGAUUGCUCUAGAUGCUGUAAUAUGAUGAAACCAACCUUUAAAGCCUAGUCCACACUAGGCAACAUGAACUGCGAUUUUUGUUAUGAGACGAACUUUGUUGUCUGUUGUUGUUGUUGGAAACCU